AGAAACACACACUCCUUUGGCGGUCACUCGAGACGAGUAUGACUAUCCUCUCUGUCGGGUUGUCUUAUUUGUGGAUGCUCAGGUGGUUGUAAAAGUCAAUCCCUGAUCCACAGAUUCUGCUGCAAUGUGGGCAUU